AAGGGGGCAUUUUGGAUUAAGUUGCUCUACGCAGAAUGUGGCUGCGUCUCUCUCUCUCUCUCUCUCUCUCUCUCUCUCUCUCUGCCUCUCUACCUUCCUAUGUUGCAGAAGAUAUGAAGAGAAUAGAAUUUCUUUGCUAAGAAGGUGCAGUUUGUGAUUAAAUUGCUCUAUGAAGAAUGUGGCUUCCUCUCUCUAUCUCUACCUAUCUGUCUAAACAAAUAGGAAACAUGGAUUAAAUGACGAGCUGCUAAUUUUAGGAAAAAACUAUAUACAUUUUGCUUUGCACAACAUUACAUCAGAGAAGUACAGGAAAAAAAAAAUACCAAUUCAACAUUACGUGGGAGAAGUAUCGUUGUUUAUGUUCUUGAUUUGCGCAACAAGAACAAACAUUAACGCUGAACCAAGAGCACAGUCAGCAGCUAACAGCAGGAUCAUCUAAAGUUACCUAAAGAGAAUUCUGUGGAAAAGUUAAUUGUAGCUCUCUCUCGGCAAAUGAUGUCAGUUCUCGUUUCAGUUGGAGUUCAUUUUCUUUCAUGCUUGAUUCAAGAAGAUACUUGACGCUCAUUCCAGCAAUGACCAUUGAAGGUCUUCUGUUAGAGUGACCAACAACAACCUGGUCAUAUCACGUGAAUUUGGCCGGGAGCAAAACCAAUGAUCAGGUGGAGCCGAUCAUUGGUAUGAAGAAUAGAACACCUAUUUGAGUAUUGAUCUGCUGCAAAAUGCUUGACGNNN
rnacentral:lncRNA from 1 species